rnacentral:tRNA from 1 species
GCCGGGAUAGCUCAGUUGGUAGAGCAGCGCAUUCGUAAUGCGCGGGUCGUAGGUUCGAGUCCUAUUCCCGGCACCA